rnacentral:rRNA from 1 species
CAGCAGCCACGGUAAUACAGAGGGUGCGAGCGUUAAUCGGAUUUACUGGGCGUAAAGCGUGCGUAGGCGGCUUCUUAAGUCGGAUGUGAAAUCCCUGAGCUUAACUUAGGAAUUGCAUUCGAUACUGGGAAGCUAGAGUAUGGGAGAGGAUGGUAGAAUUCCAGGUGUAGCGGUGAAAUGCGUAGAGAUCUGGAGGAAUACCGAUGGCGAAGGCAGCCAUCUGGCCUAAUACUGACGCUGAGGUACGAAAGCAUGGGGAGCAAACAGGAUUAGAGACCCCUGUAGUCCCUGUCUCUUAUAC